UACGUAGGGUGCAAGCGUUGUCCGGAAUUAUUGGGCGUAAAGAGCUCGUAGGCGGUUUGUCGCGUCUGCUGUGAAAACCCGAGGCUCAACCUCGGGCCUGCAGUGGGUACGGGCAGACUAGAGUGCGGUAGGGGAGAUUGGAAUUCCUGGUGUAGCGGUGGAAUGCGCGGAUAUCAGGAGGAACACCAAUGGCGAAGGCAGAUCUCUGGGCCGUAACUGACGCUGAGGAGCGAAAGCGUGGGGAGCGAACAGG
rnacentral:rRNA from 1 species